rnacentral:rRNA from 1 species
GACGAACGCUGGCGGCGUGCCUAAUACAUGCAAGUAGAACGCUGAAGGAGGAGCUUGCUUCUCUGGAUGAGUUGCGAACGGGUGAGUAACGCGUAGGUAACCUGCCUGGUAGCGGGGGAUAACUAUUGGAAACGAUAGCUAAUACCGCAUAAGAGUAGAUGUCGCAUGACAUUUGCUUAAAAGCUGCAAUUGCAUCACUACCAGAUGGACCUGCGUUGUAUUAGCUAGUUGGUGCGGUAACGGCUCACCAAGGCAACGAUACAUAGCCGACCAGGGAGGGUGAUAGGACAAACGGGGACAGAGACACGGCCCAGACUUAUACGAGAGGGAGCAGUAGGGAAGAUUCGGAAAAGGACGGAAGGCUGAACGAGCAACGCAGCGUGAGUGAAGAAGGUAUAAGGAUCGUAAAGCUCUGUUGUAAGAGAAGAACGAGUGUGAGAGUGGAAAGUUCACACUGUGACGGUAUCUUACCAGAAAGGGACGGAUAACUACGUG